UUUCUAUAACUACUUUAGUAUUGUGAUACUGUCAGCUGAGGGAACAGCAAUCAUUUGUUUCCUAUAACUACUUUAGUAUUGUGAUACUGUCAGCUGAGGGAACAGCAAUCAUUUGUUUCCUAUAACUACUUUAGUAUUGUGAUACUGUCAGAUGAGGGAACAGCAAUCAUUUGUUUGCAAUAACUACUUUAGUAUUGUGAUACUGUCAGCUGAAUGAACAGCAAUCAUUUAUUUGCUUGGUUAUUUUAAAACUAUAUAAAAAAAACAAAGAUCAUAUCAUGGGACAAUUGUAAGUCAUGGUUAUCAGGUUUCAUCUAUUUUAUAAGAAUCAGUGGAAACUUUUUAAUUUUUAUUAUGUUAAAUUUCUACUACACUAUUUAUAAUUUUACAUGGAUGAGCCCCCACAAAGAAAAUGAUACAGUCAUAAAUAUUUCUCUUCCUUCUUUACCAAAGCAAGUGAGGUAAAAUUAAAACAAAUUUCUUGAAGUCUUUUUUCAUGGGGGAUCCUUGAAGAAAAUCACGGUUAUUUCAAUGGUAAAACACCGAAUUGUGCUGGUCGUUUACUAAAUUAUGGUAGUCAAAAUCUUUGAGGUUAAAUUUUACCAGAAACUUGCAAGUAGAUGUAGCCUAACUUUUUAAAGAUUUUUUCUUUUUAAAGAUUGGAUCAAUUUUUCCUAAUUUAUGAGAAAUGAAGUUCCUGCGUAAGAAAACUGGACAGGAUUUUAAAUAGGCAAUUAGUUAUCACAAUAGUAGAUUUAAGCUUAUCCUGUACUUAUGGAUGGAAAAUAAAAUUAUCAUGCAGCUUUUAUUAAUAGAACAGCUCAAAAGGCUAUUUGCCAAUUCCCGUAAUUGACCCUGUAAUUAGAGAUCCCUUCUUUAGUUGUCUCCCUUAUGAGGGACAUUAAUUUUUAUCUACAACGGAGAGCUAGCAGAAAGAGCAAAUCUACCUGUGCCUAAUGUGAGAAAUCUAUAAGGUUUUCAAAUCUUUUAAUUACAUUAAUUUGUUGUUUAACUAAAUACGUUUGACAUCAGAAAUUAUUUUUCAUGAAAAAUUAGUUAAACCGCCGGUACAUCACUUUUAAUUCAUUAUGCUUUGCAUUGGCAAAAGCCAAUUUGUCCGUCAUGGAACCAGUCUACCAUUGACAAAGGGAAGUAAUUUGUUUAAGAAGUGUGUAACAACAGAAUCAAAUCGGUAAUUGGCAAAUUAUUCUUUUUAUACACAUGCCAAUUGUUAUUGGAAUUGUACUGUACACACGGUUUGCUCCUAAGCAUUAUUAUUUACACUGAAAAUUUAUUGAAUAGAUAAACAAAAUGUUUGUCUUAUAAUUUUUAGAUUAAAUAAAGGGUUGCCUUCAAUGAGUACCACUAAUUACCUUUCUUUUUUGUAAAGAAAAUGAUGACAAUUAUGAGUUAAAUUAUGGAAAGUAAAUCCAGAAGUUAUUUGUUGUAGCAAAUGUAGAUCAAUUUACCAAAAUAUGUUUACCUAACUAAUGAAAUUGUAAGAACAUCUUGAUAAAAGUGAUGUGAUCAGAAAAUAUGUUUGGAGUUCUUUAAAUAAAGUAAUAUUAAUCAUGUCAAAUUUUUUGCAUACCGCAUAUAUAAAUAUUGUAAAUAGUACUAAUUAAGAGUACAUUUACUGAAUGAUACAAGAUUGUAGAUUCUGCAUAAGUAUUUCAUUGUAACCAUAUUAGAAUGUUGCUUAUUAUGUCUUUUUUUUCUAUAACUAAUAGAGAAGGGUAAAACUGAAAAACAGAUAAUGUGUUCAGAAUUCAUUUAGCAUGCACAAAAAUUGUUUAUAUAAUGGUUCUGUUUUACAUUCAUACAGUUAAAUUCUAUUCACUUGCAUUUAUUUCCUGUGUGUUCAUGUCUUCAUAGUGCUUUUUUAAAUGGCACCCAAGGCCCCAGAGAAAAAGAUUAUAUCCAGACAAAGAAUGAUGUUCAUAAGUUUAGUUGAAGAUGAUUAUUUUUGUAUUAUGCACUGACUUUUUUUCUUUGAAGAAUGUCACUAAGAAAAAAAAAUAGUUUCUUUUAUUUUUACUCUAUAGAAGACAAUAAUCUAAAUGCUAAUAUAAUACAAAAAAAAAUUAUAUAGAUAGGAUUUUAUAGGUUUGAAUUUUGAAAAUAAAAGUAGUAAGGCCAUGAUAGAUUAUUUCCAUACACAUUUGGUGUAUUUUUCUCAUUUUUUGUUAAAUCUUUUUUAACUCUAUGCUUGCAAUACUUAGAAGAUUUUAUCAUGUUAUCACGAGGCAAUAUAUGUUUCUCGAGA
rnacentral:lncRNA from 1 species